AUUGAACGCUGGCGGAAUGCUUUACACAUGCAAGUCGAACGGCAGCACGGACUUCGGUCUGGUGGCGAGUGGCGAACGGGUGAGUAAUGUAUCGGAACGUGCCCAGUCGUGGGGGAUAACGUAGUGAAAAUUACGCUAAUACCGCAUACGAUCUAUGGAUGAAAGCGGGGGAUCGCAAGACCUCGCGCGAUUGGAGCGGCCGAUAUCAGAUUAGGUAGUUGGUGGGGUAAAGGCCCACCAAGCCAACGAUCUGUAGCUGGUCUGAGAGGACGACCAGCCACACUGGAACUGAGACACGGUCCAGACUCCUACGGGAGGCAGCAGUGGGGAAUUUUGGACAAUGGGCGAAAGCCUGAUCCAGCCAUUCCGCGUGCAGGAUGAAGGCCCUCGGGUUGUAAACUGCUUUUGUACAGAACGAAAAGGUUUCUACUAAUACUAGGAGCUCAUGACGGUACUGUAAGAAUAAGCACCGGCUAACUACGUGCCAGCAGCCGCAGUAA
rnacentral:rRNA from 1 species